rnacentral:rRNA from 1 species
GAGUUUGAUCCUGGCUCAGGACGAACGCUGGCGGCGCGCCUAACACAUGCAAGUCGAACGAGCGAGAGAGAGCUUGCUUUCUCAAGCGAGUGGCGAACGGGUGAGUAACGCGUGAGGAACCUGCCUCAAAGAGGGGGACAACAGUUGGAAACGACUGCUAAUACCGCAUAAGCCCACAGCUCGGCAUCGAGCAGAGGGAAAAGGAGCAAUCCGCUUUGAGAUGGCCUCGCGUCCGAUUAGCUAGUUGGUGAGGUAAUGGCCCACCAAGGCGACGAUCGGUAGCCGGACUGAGAGGUUGAACGGCCACAUUGGGACUGAGACACGGCCCAGACUCCUACGGGAGGCAGCAGUGGGGAAUAUUGCACAAUGGGGGAAACCCUGAUGCAGCGACGCCGCGUGGAGGAAGAAGGUCUUCGGAUUGUAAACUCCUGUUGUUGAGGAAGAUAAUGAUGGUACUCAACAAGGAAGUGACGGCUAACUACGUGCCAGCAGCCGCGGUAAAACGUAGGUCACAAGCGUUGUCCGGAAUUACUGGGUGUAAAGGGAGCGCAGGCGGGAAGACAAGUUGGAAGUGAAAUCUAUGGGCUCAACCCAUAAACUGCUUUCAAAACUGUUUUUCUUGAGUAGUGCAGAGGUANGCGGAAUUCCCGGUGUAGCGGUGGAAUGCGUAGAUAUCGGGAGGGACACCAGUGGCGAAGGCGGCCUACUGGGCACCAACUGACGCUGAGGCUCGAAAGUGUGGGUAGCANACAGGAUUAGAUACCCUGGUAGUCCACACCGUAAACGAUGAUUACUAGGUGUUGGAGGAUUGACCCCUUCAGUGCCGCAGUUAACACAAUAAGUAAUCCACCUGGGGAGUACGACCGCAAGGUUGAAACUCAAAGGAAUUGACGGGGGCCCGCACAAGCAGUGGAGUAUGUGGUUUAAUUCGACGCAACGCGAAGAACCUUACCAAGUCUUGACAUCCUGCGACGCGCAUAGAAAUAUGUGUUUCCUUCGGGACGCAGAGACAGGUGGUGCAUGGUUGUCGUCAGCUCGUGUCGUGAGAUGUUGGGUUAAGUCCCGCAACGAGCGCAACCCUUACUGUCAGUUACUACGCAAGAGGACUCUGGCAGGACUGCCGUUGACAAAACGGAGGAAGGUGGGGAUGACGUCAAAUCAUCAUGCCCUUUAUGACUUGGGCUACACACGUACUACAAUGGCGUUAAACAAAGAGAAGCAAGACCGCGAGGUGGAGCAAAACUCAGAAACAACGUCCCAGUUCGGACUGCAGGCUGCAACUCGCCUGCACGAAGUCGGAAUUGCUAGUAAUCGUGGAUCAGCAUGCCACGGUGAAUACGUUCCCGGGCCUUGUACACACCGCCCGUC